rnacentral:rRNA from 1 species
UGGGGAAUAUUGGGCAAUGGGGGAAACCCUGACCCAGCAACGCCGCGUGGAGGAAGAAGGUUUUCGGAUCGUAAACUCCUGUCCUCAGGGAAGAGAAGGAGACGGUACCUGAGGAGGAAGCCCCGGCUAACUACGUGCCAGCAGCCGCGGUAAUACGUAGGGGGCAAGCGUUAUCCGGAUUUACUGGGUGUAAAGGGAGCGUAGACGGAAUGGCAAGUCUGAUGUGAAAGGCCGGGGCUCAACCCCGGGACUGCAUUGGAAACUGCAAUCUAGAGUACCGGAGGGGUAAGUGGAAUUCCUAGUGCAGCGGUGAAAUGCGUAGAUAUUAGGAGGAACACCAGUGGCGAAGGCGGCUUACUGGACGGUAACUGACGUUGAGGCUCGAAAGCGUGGGGAGCAAACAGGAUUAGAUACCCUGGUAGU